CACCCCCUCACCCACCCAACCCAAUCAUAGACCCACCUCCACACCUGUUCUGCCUCAGGUAGGCCCGGUUUUUACUUUUCUGCACUCUGCAAUCGCCCCCAAAACCAGUCCAUCUGAGGGGGGUUUCGUGGUAAAGCUAAAGAUUUUGCCGCCUUAUACCAGACUAAAGGCGUCUUAAGUGUCUUUUUUUGGUUUUGUUUAGUAUUUGUGUGAGUGUGUAGUUGUGUGUGAGUGUGUACUUGUGUGUGAGUGUUGUGUGUGUGCCGUGUGAAUGUGUGUGUGGUUUGAAAGCAGCAGUAUGUAGGCUGGUGGUUCUUUUUUUGGGAAUGUUGAUGUUUUUAUUUUUGUUCAGCCCCUCCGUGUGUGACGCUGUGAAUGCUUUCUGUGUUCCCCAUGAAUAACGGAGAGAAAGCAGCGCGAGGGCUGGCAGAUGCUUGCAGCCAACCCCCGUGCGGCGGCUUUGAAGGUGAACACGCGUAGCUGCUGCCUCGAACGAGUAUGUGAGUUUGCCCCAAAAUCUCUUCAUCUGCUGCACAGGCCUAUAGCCACUGACUGGAGGUGUUCUGUGUGUCCAGCUAGGACGCCAACGGGUCCGGAAAUGUCAAAUUCAUUGACUACGAAUAUGCUGGGUACAAUUACCAAGCCUAUGACAUUGGGAACCACUUCAACGAAUUUGCAGGUAAUGUAUCACCUGGGUCUGUCACGAUAUUAAUUGUUUGUAGACAAUGUAUUGUUAAGGACA
rnacentral:lncRNA from 1 species